rnacentral:rRNA from 1 species
CAAUAGCGUAUAUUAAAGUUGUUGCAGUUAAAAAGCUCGUAGUUGGAUUUCUGGUGGGAGCGAUCGGUCUGGCGCUUAGCGCGAGUACUUGCAUCGUCUCCGGCCAUCCUUGGGGAGAGUCUGUCUGGCAUUAAGUUGUCGGGCAGAGGAUCCUCAUCGUUUACUGUGAAAAAAUUAGAGUGAUCAAAGCAGGCUUAUGCCGUUGAAUAUAUUAGCAUGGAAUAAUAAGAUAGGACUUUGGUACUAUUUUGUUGGUUUGCGCACCAAAGUAAUGAUUAAUAGGGACAGUUGGGGGUAUUCGUAUUCCGUUGUCAGAGGUGAAAUUCUUGGAUUUACGGAAGACGAACUACUGCGAAAGCAUUUACCAAGGAUGUUUUCAUUAA